GAUGACUCGAGGCAUCUGAGACUCUCUAUUUAUUAUAGUAGUGACUUGACAUGUGUUCAUCAUGUAACAGUUUCCAUCUUCUAGUUUUGUCAAGAUCAACUUUGAUGAGGAUUUGUAAUUCAAUAUCCAAACUCUACAUUUGUGGUGGUAGAAGGGAGCCAUCAUUUUGAUAUCACCAUCCCAAGUUUUGAGUUAUGAGCAAUUUAGAUAUUUUUUAUCACUACAACAGAACAGAGUAUUAGCGAUGCAAAAAAUUUAUUUUAUCUAAGGCCGCGA
rnacentral:lncRNA from 1 species